UUGUGUGCGGUGGAGGGGGGCGGAGAGGGAUGUGGACAGAGGGAGGGGCGGUGUCAUAACUCUUGUAGUCAUAGGACUGGCCAGUUGGUAGUUACCAGUGUUCCAGACACUUCCUAAUGCCAGACAAAUGCCCCAAGCCCUGGCUUGUCUGGCUUCGAGAUCUAUUCAACCGAUAGCAGCCGGGCUCCACCGGGGAAAGCCGACUUCCAGCGAGCCUCCGCGGCUAAUCAAACGUAACAUUGCUUUCAGAAGGAAGAAUGAAAAGGUUUGUUUCAGAGUCACAGCUUUUUUUUUUUAUAAGAGGCACCCAAGUUGUUUUAACAAGUUGCUACAAACCUUGGGCUUCCUGAGGUGAGGCUGUUGUGCACAGUACAUGUACUGUCCCAAACUCCAAGGAGGCAGGAAUACGAAAAUUAGUCAUUAAAAAAAAAAAAAAGCCCCAGGCACUUCAUGCCUGGAAAUGAUGUAAGACGCUGCCACUCCUCUGUUACAACUACAACCAAACUGCUCGGCGAUCGCAGCAGCUGCUUUCCAAAUGUCAGCGCCCAGCCGGGGCAAAGGGCUGCAGAGCCACCGAGCCCGAGGGCUGUGCGCGCUACCUCGGUCGCCCACAUUUUCUCCAGGCACUCGCGGGACCCUGGCAACAGGUAACGUGGCAACCUUGGCCUUCUAAACUGGCAAGCGGCAAGAUUACAGAGAACAAAAGGAUUUUUUUGAAAGCCAGCUGCAUCUCCCUCGCCACCCCCACCCUUCCCUCCGCCCCUUGCCCUUUCCCCGCCUCCCAACUCAAAGUCUGAGAAAACAGAAGCAUCUCCGGGCAGCUCCGCUCGCGCGCGCCCCCUGGUGACCAAAGUUCGGAUCAUUGAUGUACCUUGAACUCCGAAGCUGGGCUCCCAGUGACACAAGUCAGAUACAUCCCUUUUCUUCCCAUUGCCAUCAGUGAGAGAUACCUUGAACUGUGGCUGCCAUCUGGGGACCACAAGGAGCUUCUGCUCCAGAAGACAGAAGAUGGCAAGAAGCUGGUUUUGUAUAUUCAUUGGCUGCCCUGCCUCUAGACUUGCUGUGGUUGGAGAAAAUGAAUGCCUUUAACGUCUGAGUCACUCUAA